GCCUGGCUAGCUCAAUGGCUAGAGCGUUUGACUUUUAAGAAUGAUCCUUACAUCAAUACUUAAGGGGCAUCAAAAGGCUGCGGGUUCGAGUCCCGCGUCGGGCU